rnacentral:rRNA from 1 species
CACGGAGUUAGCCGGUGCUAUUACUCAGAUACCGUCAUCUCCCCUUGUCGGGGCCUUUCGUCUCUGAUUCAGAGGUUUACGAUCCGAAAACCUUCAUCCCUCACGCGGCGUCGCUCCAUCAGGCUUUCGCCCAUUGUGGAAGAUUCCUAACUGCUGCCUCCCGUAGGAGUGGGACCCGUGUCUCAGUGCCCCUGUGGCCGGCCACCCUCUCAGGCCGGCUAUCCGUCGUCGCCUUGGUAAGCCUUUACCUCACCAACAAGCUGAUGGAACGCAACCCCAUCCCAAAGCGGUCACAGCCUUUACUGGCCCCACACGAGGGGACAGCACAUUCCGUCUUAGCCCUCCUUUCGGAGGGUUAUUCGGAACUUUGGGGCAGGUCAGUUACGUGUUACUCACCCGUGCGCCACUGACUCCCCGAGGGGAGUCCGUUCGACUUGCAUGUCUUAAGCACGCCGCCAGCGUUCACCCUGAGCCAGGAUCAAACUCU